UACGUAGGGUCCAAGCGUUAUCCGGAUUUAUUGGCGUAAAGCACAUGUAGGCGGAUUGUUAAGUCUUUGUUUAAAGCUCUGGGCUCAACCCAGAAUCUGGCAGAGAUACUAGCUUUCUAGUGGUCAGCAGGGGCUAACAGAAUUCCCGGUGUAGGAGUGAAAUCCGUUGAUAUCGGGAGGAAUACCAAUGGCGAAGGCAGUUAGCUAGGCUGAUUCAGACGCUGAGAUGUGAAAGCGUGGGGAGCGAACGGG
rnacentral:rRNA from 1 species